GAUGAACGCUAGCUACAGGCUUAACACAUGCAAGUCGAGGGACCGGCGCUCGGGUGAGUAACACGUAUCCAACCUUCCCUUUACUCGGGGAUAGCCUUUCGAAAGAAAGAUUAAUACCCGAUUUUAUGGAUGGGGAUGCGUUCCAUUAGGUUGUUGGUGAGGUAACGGCACACCAAGCCUUCGAUGGAUAGGCGAUCGGAGAGGGAGGUCCCCCAGAUUGGAACUGAGACACGGUCCAAACUCCUACGGGAGGCAGCGGUGAGUAAUAUUGGUGAAGGGGCGCUAGCCGGAACCAGCCAAGUAGCGGGAAGGAUGAAGGGUUAGGGGUCGUAAGUUUCUUUUAUAGAAGAAUAGGUAUUAUAUGAAUAAGGAUCGGCUAACUCCGUGCCAGCAGCCGCGGUAAUAC
rnacentral:rRNA from 1 species